GGCCGCACGGGAAAAUCGAUUAUCCCGUGCGAGCAUCUUAAUCCAACCGCAUGGGAUAAUCCUCAUUAUCCCAUGCGGUC
rnacentral:pre_miRNA from 14 species